GCAGGGUUAGUUUAUUGGUAGAACGAUCGCUUCCCAAGCCAUAAGGGCGGGUUCGAUUCCCGUACCCUGCUCCA
rnacentral:tRNA from 1 species